UUGCCUCGGCGGUAAAUAUGCUAAAAUUGGAAAGAUACAGAGAAGAUUAACAUAGUUCCUGUGGAAAGAUGAUACACAAAAUCGUGAAGUGUUCCACAUUGAG